rnacentral:rRNA from 1 species
UAGCGGAUGACUUGUGGCUGGGGGUGAAAGGCCAAUCAAACCGGGAGAUAGCUGGUUCUCCCCGAAAGCUAUUUAGGUAGCGCCUCGUGAACUCAUCUUCGGGGGUAGAGCACUGUUUCGGCUAGGGGGUCAUCCCGACUUACCAACCCGAUGCAAACUACGAAUACCGAAGAAUGUUAUCACGGGAGACACACGGCGGGUGCUAACGUCCGUCGUGAAGAGGGAAACAACCCAGACCGCCAGCUAAGGUCCCAAAGUCAUGGUUAAGUGGGAAACGAUGUGGGAAGGCACAGACAGCCAGGAUGUUGGCUUAGAAGCAGCCAUCAUUUAAAGAAAGCGUAAUAGCUCACUGGUCGAGUCGGCCUGCGCGGAAGAUGUAACGGGGCUAAACCAUGCACCGAAGCUGCGGCAGCGACACUAUGUGUUGUUGGGUAGGGGAGCGUUCUGUAAGCCUGCGAAGGUGACCUGUGAGGGUUGCUGGAGGUAUCAGAAGUGCGAAUGCUGACAUAAGUAACGAUAAAGCGGGUGAAAAGCCCGCUCGCCGGAAGACCAAGGGUUCCUGUCCAACGUUAAUCGGGGCAGGGUGAGUCGACCCCUAAGGCGAGGCCGAAAGGCGUAGUCGAUGGGAAACAGGUUAAUAUUCCUGUACUUGGUGUUACUGCGAAGGGGGGACGGAGAAGGCUAUGUUAGCCGGGCGACGGUUGUCCCGGUUUAAGCAUGUAGGCUGGUUAUCCAGGCAAAUCCGGAUAAUCAAGGCUGAGGUGUGAUGACGAGGCACUACGGUGCUGAAGUAACAAAUG